rnacentral:lncRNA from 1 species
GUUUCACUGUGUUAGCCAGAUGAUCUCGAUCUCCUGACCUUGUGAUCCGCCCACCUCGGCCUCCCGAAGUGCUGGGAUUACAGGCGUGAGUCACCGCGCCUGGCCAACUUUUUUCUUUUCCUUGUUUCUUUCCUUAUCUAUUUCCCUUUAUGGGUUGGAUAAUUAGCUACAUUGCAGAUACACAAUGUGUAUACAUAAAAUCACCAAGAAUGGAAAUGCAAUGGGCUAUACUUAUCUAGCUGAAGAUUGGACUUUUCCAAUGUCAUAUCCUCCUCACCAGUCACAAAACUGCUGUACUUUAAUAACUAUUUGGUUUAUGAAGGGAUGUGUUUUGAGAGCAUUUUCCCAAUUUUCAGUGAAUUAAUAGGCCCAGGUGGUCUGGUGCUCUGUUGGAUGGAUGUUUCUAUUUUGGUGGAAAGUUAUUUUUUCAUAAAUUCACUCUCAUGCACAUAUAAAUGUGAAUAAUAAGCCUUGUUAUUCCUAUGACAAUAGAGCAGCGGACCCCUGCUGGGGGUGGGGAGGGUAAACAAAGCAUAAGUUAGGCGCCAUCUUGGAUUUGUGUUUUUUUCCUCCUAGGUAAAAAGAUUGACUUCAAAUUUUUCCCAUUCUAAUGAAUAUAGCCUUAACUCUCAGAGGAUAGGAGGGAGCAAAUAUCUUUCUGCCAUUAAUGUGAAGAAAGGGGCCGGGCGCGGCGGCUCACGCCUGUAAUCCCAGCACUUUGGGAGGCCGAGGUCAGGAGCUGAAGAGCAACCCCGCCAACGUGGCGAAACCCUGUCUCUGCAAAAAUACAAAAAUUAACCGGGCAUGAUGGCGGGUGCCUGUAAUCCCAGCUACUCAGGAGGCUGAGGCAAGAGACUUGCUGGAACCCGGGAACGGAGGUUGCAGUGAGCCGAGAUCAUGCCAUUGCAUUCCAGCCUGGGUGAAAGAGGAGACUACGUCUCAAAGAAAAAAAAAUGAAGAAAAGGUGUACACACCGAGGGCUUUUAUGAGUUUGCUACUACACGAUGGGGUGUGUAAAGGCAAAUGCAAAUUAAAAAUAAAAGGUUUAAUUCUUCCUGUUGAAAAUAAGAACAUUUUUCUAGUCGCUUCCAAGAUGGCUGAAUAGGAACAGCUCCGGUCUGCAGCUACCAGUGUGAUCAAUGCAGAAGACGAGUGAUUUCUGCAUUUCCAACUGAGGUACCUGGUUUAUCUCACUGGUCCUGGUUGAACAGUGGGUGCAGUCCACAGAGGGCGAGCUGAAGCAAGACAGGGUGUCGCCUCACUCAGGAAGCGCAAGGGGUCGGGGGAUUUCCCUUUCCUAGCCAAGAGAAGGAAUGACAAACUGUAUCUGGAGAAAUGGUACACUCCUGACCAAAUACUGCACUAUUCCCACUGUAUUAGCAACUGGCAGACCAGGGGAUCCCCUCUCGUGCCUGGCUCAGCAGGUCCCACACCCACGCAGCCUUGCUCACUGCUAGCGCAGCAGUCUGAGAUCCACCUGUGACACUGCAGCUGGACACGGGGAGGGGUGUCUGCCAUUGCUGAGGCUUGAGUAGCUCACAGUGUAAACAAAGAGGUCUGGAAGCACGAACUGAGUGGAGUCCGCGGCAGCUCAGCAAGGCCUACUGCCUCUAUAGAUUCCACCUCUGGGAUCAGGGCAUAGUAGAACAAAAGGCAGCAGACAGCUUCUGCAGACUUAAACAUCCCUGUCUGACAGCGCUGAAGAGAGCAGUGGUUCUCUCAGCAUGGCGUUCGAGCUCCAAAAAUGGAUAGACUGCCUCCUCAAGUGGAUGACUGACCCCUGGGUAGCCUGACUGGGAAAUACCUCCAAGUAGGGGCCGACAGACAUCUCAAACAGGUGGGUGCCCCUCUGGGAUGAAGCUUCCAGAGGAAGGAUCAGGCAGCAAUAUUUGCUGUUCUGCAGACUCCUCUGGUGAUAUACCCGGGCAAACAGGGUCUGGAGUGGACCUACAACAAACUCCAACAGACCUGCACCUGAGGGGUCUGACUGUUAGAAGGAAAACUAACCAACAGAAGGAAACCAGGUAUUUGAAUUUUUAGCACAUUUUUCUAGUCGCUUCCAAGAUGGCUGAGUAGGAACAGCUCUGGUCUGCAGCUCCCAGCAUGAUCGAUGCCGAAGACGGGUGAUUUCUGUAUUUCCAACUGAGGUACCUGGUUCAUCUCACUGGUACUGGUUGAACAGUGGGUGCAGCCCACAGAGGGCGAGCUGAAGCAGGACAUCAACAUCAACAAAAAGGAUAUCCACACCAAAACCCCAUCUGUAGGUCACCAACAUCAAAGACCAAAGGUAGAUAAAACCACAAAGAUGGGGAGAAACCAGAGCAGAAAAGCUGAAAAUUCCAAAAAACAGAGCACCUCUUCUCCUCCAAAGGAUUGCAGCUCCUCACCAGCAAGGGAACAAAACUGGAUGGAGAAUGAGAUUGAGAAAUUGACAAAAGUAGGCUUCAGAAGGUCGGUAAUAACAAACUUCUCGAAGCUAAAGGAGCAUGUUCUAACCCAUCACAAGGAAGCUAAAACCUUGAAAAGACGUUAGAUGAAUGGCCAACUAGAAUAAACAGUGUAGAGAAGACCUUAAAUCACCUGAUGGAGCUGAAAACCAUGGCACAAGAACUUCGAGACGCACAAGCUUUAAUAGCCAAUUCGAUCAAGUGGAAGAAAGGAUAUCAAUGAUUGAUAUCCAAAUUAAUAAAAUAAAGUGAGAAGACAAGAUUAGAGAACAAAAGAGUGAAAAGAAAUGAACAAAGGCUCUGAGAAAUAUGGGAUUAUGUGAAAAUACCAAAUCUACAUUUGACUGGUGUACCGCAAAGUGACACGGAUAAUGGAACCAAGUUAGAAAACACUCUGCAGGAUAUCAUCCAGGAGAACUUCCCUAACCUAGAAAGGCAGGCCAACAUUCAAAUUCAGGAAAUACAGAGAACACCACAAAGAUACUCCUCGAGAAGAGCAACCCCAAGACACAUAAUUUUCAGAUUCACCAAGGGUAAAAUAAAGGAAAAAAUGUUAAGGGCAGCCACAGAGAAAGGUCGGGUUACCCACAAAGGGAAGCCCAUCAGACUAACAGCAGAUCUCUCUGCAGAAACCCUACAAGCCAGAAGAGAGUAGGGGCCAAUAUUCAACAUUCUUAAAGUAAAGAAUUUUCAACCCAGAAUCUCAUAUCC